AAAUAAUUUUAACUGCAAAUAUUGUUCAUAUAUUCAUAUAUUUACUUACUGUACAGCAGCUAAAGUAUCAUACAGCAAGUGGUUAUAUCACGCGUUAUAUUGCACAUGUAAACUCGCCACCUCAAGAGGCGCUUCCUCAAAGUAUCCGAGAUACUCCAGAUAUGAAAGAACGCCUCGACGAGGUGGCUCGAAUAUUGUCCCCGCGCCAAGUCCAGUGAAUUUCGAAAUGGGUAAAAACAUUUUUGGCCGGUGACGCAAUUUCAAUGUCGCUUACGUCAAGUCCGAUGCAAACCCGGCUUUCGGCACCGUUUGUAAGAGCAAAGAUCAGUGAUCCGUGCGAACUUACACGAAAAUCUAUCGAGCGACCUUUGAUCGUUCACUUCCGCCGUGUUUGUUUUGCGCGCGAAGUUCAAUGUAUUCUUAAUCGCGAUAAAUAUUGUAUGCAUCGUUAAUGGGAUUCUCACGGGACUUUGUUUACACUGGUAAUCGUCCAUAUUUCAAACGAAAUAUCGUCGGAGACAGCGGAGGUCGUCGCUUCUUUCAAGGUCACGGAAGGAAAAGGAAUUAUAGUGAAUAACGUAUGCUCGAAGGGUAAUCGUACCUCAAAUAGAAAAUAUUUUCGGACAAAGAUUGCGGCAAGAAUUUACACGAGACGUGAUAAGUUCAAGAUUAUGAAAAAAGGUGCGAGAAGUCGAAAAAUGGCAAAAUGGCUGUUCGCGCGGGAAACUACAUAAAUAUCGAUCACGAUAAUAAGUUAAUAAACACUGAGUUGCAAAGGUGAAUUACUGUUUAGCAAGGUCUCAGUGCUCUGCAUAUAGUUCUUUUCACAUGGAAUAAUACGUAAUGAUAAUUUCGCAGAUUCGAGACGCCUUGGCUAAAAUUAUAAUUGCAAAAAUAUAUACGCAUGAAUUUGUGAAUUCGUAACACGUCGUAAAUAUACAACGCACGUGACAACACGCAUUAAAUGUAUUAGAAAAUGAAGCAAUUUGUUCCAAAGACGUAAAAUAUUCCAAAUAAGCGAGAAAAAAGUCUUAGUUGUUUCUACGAAUUAAUUGUUCACGUAAUGUUGAUAAAAACAUGUACCUGCUCAGGUUACGUCUUUCUGGAAUAAUUUUAUUCCGCAUUGGUAAAUCGCACACUGUGACUUGCUAUUCUUUUUCCAGUAAUGUUGCAACAGUUUCAAAACUAUCAAGGUUAUGUACAAGUCCCUAUUGUUUGCUUUUUGUACGUGAAUAUUGAAUAAAUAUAAAUGAUGUAUAAAUCGUGUAUAACAUUACCUUUACACGAAAUCAAAUGAUUAUAUUUCGAUAAAAAAUUGAUGUCGAAUACAAGGUUAAUUAUAUGACGAUGUGUUAAUUAUAGGUUAACUAUUCGUCCAGCACUGGCCAUUAAUGGCCCUCGUGUCAUUCAACGAUGUUAAACUUAUGUUCGCGUGGGACUAUAGUGGGAUUGACGUUUAGUACUCUAACAAACGAAGGACGAACUUCUGAGUCGUUUCUAAAUUAUUGUAGCGCCGAGUAAACUGGAAGUUUAGACACGUAACUUUCGAACAAAACACAUCGCGAUCGUAAAUCGUUCACUUAGAAUCGAACGACAAGUUAAAAGCUUCUGUAAAGAGCGGUGGUCGUUGGGUUCGGUAAAGAGCUGUAAAACCAAUGGUCUUUAUUCUAGAAAACGAGCGGAAAAUUAUAGCGUGCGACUGAAUUGUCGGAGAACGGUAAAACGGAAGCUUAUCUCGAACGAAAACGGCCUUAACUAUACUCGUUUCGCUAUUAUUCUGUAGAACGGAUCUGGAUAGCUCGUGUCAUUCGAUCCGCGGACGUCUUCGGUUGUUUUCGGGAAUUUACGCUUGCUCUCGAGCACCUACUGAUUUUUAGUGCAUAUGGGUGCCACUGGUUGCAUUCGGCUGUUUACGGAACCUUUCGGCAUUCACGAUUAAUAUCGUGCACUCACGAUUGUUUUCGAACACUUCCGAUUAUGGCAAGAAUACACUCGGCUUAUUUAGAGAAGGACUUCCUCAUCGAUUUUUACAAAAUUUAAGGAAUUUGAAUAUUGUAGAACAGGUUAACAUUUUGGGGACCUAUAAAUAUGGAAAUCUAGGGUUUAAUGGUCUCGUAAUUUUGAAGCUUAUUUGAUUACAAAGGAAUUUGUGUAUCUAAGAAUUUCGUGCCCUAACAUUUGACGAUCUAAGGUAUUAAACUUGUCUAAUAUACAUACAAGUAUAUCGUGUUUGAAAAAUUUGACAAAUAAGGUUGACACAAAAGCUGCAGUGUGUUAGAGAAAUUCGAACGGUACCUUUGUGUGGCAUGGCCAGUGAAUGGCUGAAAGAAGAAUCGAAGACGUCGUUUUCCACAUGGCGCACGACCCAAUUCGUCGAGAUCUUAUGUAACCGACAACAUUGAGUCAUUCAUGCUCAGCUGAUCGCAAUACACGGUUGCAAUUAAUCCGUGUUAACUUGACAAUUUCAUUAAAAAUAAUUGACGGCUUACUAUUUCGCUGUCUAGAGGAUGCCUCAUAAUCUCCUAUGCUGGGGUUACAAUUUGAAGCCGAAAAUUCCUUCUCAAGUUCUUUGGAAUAUUAUCAUGAUUGUUGAAGAUGGAAUAGUUGAACAAUACAAGAACCGCCCUGAUUAUUUUAUCCAGGCAAUUCACGUUCCAGCAGAGACAAACGAGCGAAAGUUUCAAGAAAGAAGAUGAAACGGAUGUAUAAUGUUCGAAGGAUCAAUCGUGGAGUCCGACCGAUAACAGUGACGGUAGAAGAAUUUGGCCUUGGCCCACUGUUUCAGCCAAGUGUAUACGGGCACGAGGAUCAGAAGAAAAAAAUCGAGCGGAGAAUGUGGAGGAAAGGGACUUCCGGUUGCUGACACGGUGACUACCAGACUGAAGCGCUUCAUAAUUACUUUUUCGGUUGUUGGUUCUUCGAGUUCUCAAACGCUUCAAAUGCAAGUGAGCUGCUUUCGAAACAAGCAAAUCCAAGAUAAAAACUUUUUAGCUCAUAUUUAUACGCAAAGAAAGCAGAGGAGCUUCGUUAAAAUCGAUGGAAAAAAUGUUAAUAAAUUGGUAAAUUUACUUUGUUGGACAAAAUAUACUAAAGCAGCUAAUAAUACAAGAAAUCAACAUUACUUUACAAAGCAGAACUGAAUGUUACAAAUGUAACAUCAAGCAGGAAAAAUAAGAAAGUGAAGCACAAUAAAGAAGUAUAUAUUUUAUUCAAAAGAUUACAUAGGUAAAGAAAGCAGUAUCAAGUUGUGCAAAACUAUUGCAUAGAACUGAUUGAUUAUCACCGAUUCAUUGAAUAACACGUGUUAUCAUACGUGUAUGUCAAUACAGCUGUAUCAACGAAAGACUAUCUAUGUCAAAGAUACUUUAGAACAAAAGCGGUGUGAUCGAAUCGACAUAAGAUACCUGACUAUCUAUAUUAGUAUCUACAAGUUGUUUAUGCAAGUUAUAAACUUUCCUAAUUGUCAAUACCGAGACUAAUAAGCUUUCCUGAUUGUCAAUAACAAUCAUAUCAAAGUUAUCUACAAUUGAUUCGACAAAGGUGUGCCAAAUCCCCAGAAGGGUUAAACGAAGUAAAAUAUCGACAUAGUCAUCUGGACACCUCUGCCUAUAAAAUAGUUUGGUCGGUUCGAUGAUCGAACCUCCAGUUGAUCGUGACGAUUACGUUGUCGAAGAAAGAGAGAGAAGAAGAAAAGGAAUUUCUGAUCGAGACGAAGCCCGGCCCGAGAGAGAAAGUUUCGGCGUCGAGAGGUGAAUAACGCGGCAUCAAAAUGAUCGCUAGUCCGUGCAAUAUUCGUCUAACCGCCACGACGAAUCGAGCAGAAUUACAUCGCGAUGAAUAAUUAAACUUGAUAACGAUCGACACUUAAUUAUUGCGGCGUAACAUGUAAUCCUCGAAAAUUUCGACCGCUGUCGAAACUGUCUAGUGUCGAAACUGCAGGAAGUGUGUUCCUUUUACUCGAAUGCGUGAAAAAUGAUUUCUGACUAGGUGUCUAGAAAAGGUAUUUGUUUCAAGAAUCCUUAAAUUCUCUUACUUAUUCAAUUUGCAAAAUGGAUCGAGAGGUUCUCAAUAAAAUAUAUUGCAGCAGUA